UACGGAGGGAGCUAGCGUUGUUCGGAAAUACUGGGCGUAAAGCGCACGUAGGCGGCGCAGCAAGUCAGGGGUGAAAUCCCGGGGCUCAACCCCGGAACUGCCCUUGAAACUGCAGUGCUAGAAUUCUGGAGAGGCGAGUGGAAUUCCGAGUGUAGAGGUGAAAUUCGUAGAUAUCGGGAGGAACACCAGUGGCGAAGGCGACUUCCUGGCCUGUUCUUGACGCUGAGGCGCGAAAGCUAGGGUAGCAAACGGG
rnacentral:rRNA from 1 species